GACAGAGGGUGCAAACGUUGUUCGGAAUUACUGGGCGUAAAGCGUGUGUAGGUGGCUGCGAAAGUCGGAUGUGAAAGCCCUGGGCUCAACUCAGGAAGUGCACCCGAUACUGCGUAGCUAGAGUACCGGAGAGGUUGGUAGAAUUCUCGGUGUAGAGGUGAAAUUCGUAGAUAUCGAGAGGAAUACCUGUGGCGAAGGCGGCCAACUGGACGAGUACUGACACUGAGACACGAAAGCGUGGGGAGCAAACAGG
rnacentral:rRNA from 2 species